AAAGUCCUGUGUAGACUUCACCCAGCCCCUCCCAGUGUUAACAUCUUAGGUAGCCUCGCAAAACCACCACCAAAAUCAAGAUACUCACCUGUACCAUGACUGCAAGAUUUCCUCAUGUUACCCCUUUCUAACCCGAACCAUCCUCUACGCCCUACAUCCCUACCCUUGGAAACCACUAAUUUGUUUUUCCAUCUCUAUGUGAUUUUGCAAAUAUUACAUAAAUAAAGUCAUGUAGUGCAUAACCAUUUGUGAUUGAUUUUGUCACUCAGCAUAAUUUCCUUGAAAUUCACCCAAGUUGUUGCAUGUAUCAAGAGUUUAUUGCUUACUGUUGCUCAGUUUAUUCAUGGUAUUGGUGUGCCUUUCAAUCAGUUUUAAUUGGGCUACUUAUCAUUUAGCACUGAGCUGUGUAUAUACUAGAUACUGGUCCCUUGUCAGAUAUGUUUUACCACUAUUACUCUCCCAGUCUGUGACUCACCCAUUCAUCUGCUUAUUGGUAUAUUCUGAUGAGACAAAGUUUUCAAUUUGGAUAAAGUCUAAUGUCUUAAUUUUUUAUUUAUUUAUUUUGAGACAGAGUCCCACUCUGUCACCCAGGCUGGAGUGCAGCGGUGUGAUCUUGGCUCACUGGAACCUCCACCUCCUGGGUUCAAGCAAUUGUCCUGCCUCAGCCUCCUGAGUAGCUGGGAUUACAGGCGCAUGCCAAGACGCCCAGCUAAUUUUUGUAUUUUCAGUAGAGAUCAGGUUUCGCCAUGUUGGCCAGGCUGGUCUCAAACUCCCAAUAUCAGGCGAUCUGCCCGCCUUGGCCUCCCAAAGUGCUAGGAUUACAGAUGUAAGCCACUGCGCCCGGUCUGAUUUUUUUAUUUUUAUGGUUAUUGUUUUCACUCAAGAAACCUUUGCCUACUCCCAAGUCAUAAGUUGGGACACUCAUCACUGUCCUGUUUCCCUCUAAAAACUUUAUGAUUGUAGCUUUUAUAUGUAGGUCUAAAAACCAUCUCAAAUUAAUUUUGGUAUGAGGUAAAAGCUGAGAGGUUUGUUUAUUUGUUUCCCCAGUUAUUCCAGUACUAUUUGUUGAAAAGCCUUUCUUCUCCCCAUUGGAAUGCUUUGGCAUCUUUGUCAAACAAUAAAUGACCCUUUAGUGCGUGUGUGGCAGGGUAUGUUUCUAGGACCUCUGUUGUGUUUUGUUCGGUAAUCUUUGCCAAUAACAUACUGUCUUGAUCACUGUAGUUUUAAUAAAUCCUGAAGUUUUUGUUUUUUGUUUUUUUUUUUGAGAUAAGAGUCUCACUCUGUCACCCAGGGUGGAGUGCAGUGGUGUGAUCUCGGCUCACUGCAACCUCCGCUUCCCAGGUUCAAGAGAUUCUCAUGCCUCACCCUCCCCAGUAGCUGGGAUUACAGGCUUGCACCACCAUGCCUGGCUAAUUUUUGUAUUUUUAGUAGAGAUAGGGUUUUACCAUGUUGGCCAGGCUGGUCUUGAACUCCUGACCUCAGGUGAUCCACCUGCCUCGGCCUUCCAAAGUACAGGGAUUCCAGGCAUGAGCCACCAUGCCCGGCUCUGAUCUAUCUAUCUAUCUAUCUAUCUAUCUAUCUAUCUAUCUAUCUAUCAUCUAUCUAUCUAUCUAUCUAUCUAUUUUAUUUUUUGAGAUGGAGUCUUGCUCUAUCGUCUGAGCUGGAGUGCAGUGGUGUGAUCUCGGCUCACUGCAAACUCCGCCUCCCGGGUUCAACCAAUUCUCCCACCUCAGCCUCCUGACUAGCUGGGAUUACAGGCGUGCGCCACUACAUCCAGCUAAUGUUUGUAUUUUUAGUAGAGACGGGGUUUCACCAUGUUGGCCAGGCUGGUCUCGAACUCCUGACCUCAACUGAUCUGCCUGCCUUGGCCUCCCAAAGUGCUAGGAUUAUAUGUGUGAGCCACUGCACCCGGCCUGAUUUUUUAAUAUUAACCUUAUAUCCCAUGACCUUAUUGUGAUUUUUCAAUUAUUACUUCGAAUAGUUGUUGUCUUGAUUCCUUAGGACUUUCUAUGUACACAAUCAUGUCAUCUCCAAAUACAGACUUAUGUCUUCCUUUUUGAUCUUUAUGUCUCAUUUCUUUUUCUUUUGAUAAUGGAUUUUUAUAGUUUAUAAUGUAUUUUUUAAAUAGGUGCCCCUUACCAGAUUGAGGAAGUUCCCUUCAAUUUCUAGUUUGCUGAGAGCUUUUUAUCAUGAAUGGAUGUUGGAUUUUGUCAUAUGCUAUUUUUACAUCUAUGAAGAUGAUUGCUAUGGUUUGAAUGUUUGUUGCCUCCAAAACUCAUGUUGAAAAUUAAUUCCUAAUGGCAAUAUUGAGAGGUGGGGUUUUUAAGAGGUGACUGGGUCAUGAGGGCUCUGCUCUCAUGAAUGGAUGAACCUAUUCAUGGAUUGGUGAGUUAAUCGAUUAAUGGGUUAUCACAGGAUUGGGACUGAUGACUUUAUAAGAAGAAGAGAGGCCUCAACUAGCACAUUUGCAUGUUCAGCCCACUUGCCAUUUGAUGCCCUGCAAAGCCUCGGAAUUCAGCAGAGUCCCCACCAGCAAGAAGGCCCUCAAUAGACACAGCCCUUUGAGGCUGGACUUCUCAACCUCCAAAACGCCUGAUUAAUGACAGAGCUGCUUCAUUGUUCAGUCCGAGCUGAUUUUCAUUCCACAGAAGAGGAAAGCAAAUGCCCCCACGCCCAGAAAAAAUAAAAAUUACACUUCAUGGAACAAAACGGAAACACAAACUCAUCUGGAUGUUGACUUGUCUAUAUGCAACAGCAAUCAUUUCCUCCUCUCCCCGCUGCCUUCCUAAAGAACAGCAGGAUUGGGAAAGGAGACGGGAAUCUUGAGACCGCGGGCCUUUCCUGGAGCCGGCCUUGGCUGAGCAGGACACACCCCCGCUAGCGCACUUGCUCCCUCCGUCUACUGCGCGCAAAACCCGAUGGAAAUAACAGGGAGCCUGGAAUAAAGCUGACCCUUUCCCGUAUCAGAGCGAAAGGCCAGGUACACGAAGACGGGGCUGGGAUCUGUCUCCGAGUUCCCCGCAGUUUCCAUGGGAGGGAGCUCGGGUAAAGCUGUGCAAUCUGCAGUUCUUCAGACUGCGUCUUUUUGUUUGGGGGCCUUCAUUCACUCCGGGGUUCCUGUAUCUAACUCGGAGCCAUUCCGGGCCGCUGGACCUGGGCGGCUCUGAAGCGAGAAGGCAGAGGACGCAACAGGGCACCCGGCGCCCAGUCAGCGCCACAAACUCCACAGCUACUGCCUCCUGGCUCACACUGAGGUCUGCGCCGCCCCCGCGCCACCCCCGCGCCCAUUGCCUCGGUGCAAGCGACCAACUCACCUCUCGGAGCCGACACCAGCAGCGAAGCCGGAAAGAACUGCGAGCGGAGGCCUGUGGGAAAUGUAGUCCGCCGAUGGGAGGGACUGGUUCCAGCCCCAACGGGCUGCGCGGAGUGCGCAUGCGCGGGGGCCGGAGCCCCGGGUGCGCUCGGGGCGGGAAGGCCCUCCGCGCUGCGUGGGGCUGAGGCGAGCUCGGGCUUGCGUUUGCUUUUGUCGCUGAGGAAGACUUUUAUUUGUUUAUUUUCUUGAGACAGGGUCUUACUCUGUCGCCCAGGCUGGAGUGCAGUGGCGUGAUUAGAGCUCACUGCAGCCGCGACCUCCCGGGCUCAAGCGACCCUCCCACCCGAGCCUCCAGAGUAGCUGGGACUGCAGGCGCGCGCCACCACGCCCAACUCAUUUUUUAAGUUUUUAUAGAGACCAGAUCUCCCUAUGUUACCCAAGCCGGUGUCGAACUCCUGGGCUUAAAAGAUCCUCCCGCCUGAGCCUCCCAAAGUGCUGGGACUACAGGCGUGAGCCACCAGGCUCAGCCGCGGAGGAUUUAGAAAGAAGUUUUGGCACCAGCAGAUGCCUAAUAUGUGUACUAAACACCUACCAGUUACUCACUGCAUACACCCAAGCAAGGUGUGGGCACACAUCAGGCAUGCAAUGAAAAUACUCUCAAAGCCCACCAGAACCUGGAGCAGGACGUAAACCUAGAAAGGUCGCUCGUGCUCACUGCCCUCUCCCUUUCUCCCACUCUGUCUCUGUCUCUGUGUGUGUGUGUGUGUGUGUGUGUGUGUGUGUGUGUGUGUGUGUCUCGUAUCUCCUGCAGUUGUGAAUGUAUUGUUCUACUAAAAAUACAAAAAAUUAGCCGGGCGUGGUCGCGCGCGCCUGUAAUCCCAGCUACUCAGGAGGCUGAGGCAGGAAAAUCGCUUGAACCCGGGAAGCGGAGGUUGCAUUGAGCUGAGAUCCGCCAUUGCACCCCAGCUUGGGCAACAAGAGCGAAACUCCGUUUCAAAAGAAAAAGACUAACUGGAGAGGUCUGUCUCCAAUGAGACUGAAUUUGUCCUGUCCUGCGUUCCUUCAGGAAAGAAAUGGGAUAAGCCCACCAGGGACCACCCUGAGGCAUCUUCUGUAUCCCAAAUUCUUUGAUAUAUUAGUUAAUACAUGAAAGAAUUUGUUCUUUCCUUAAGAAUAUAAAACUUUAGAAGAUAUUUGAAAAUGCCUCGGCAAUCUGGUUUCAUUUUGCAAACAAUAGGAUAUGCAUGAAAUAGGAGAUAAAUGAAAAAUCUGAGCUACUUUAUAACUACUAAGAAGGUGGCCAGACGCGGUGGCUGACGCCUAUAAUCCCAUCACUUUCGGGGGGCCGA
rnacentral:lncRNA from 1 species